CUACAUGAAAUAUAUUUUACGUCGUCAAUUCUACUUACAUCGAUUGUUGAAAAAGCCAUAUAAAAAGAGGCACAAUGACUCAAACACAAGAGUACAAAGAGUUCAAUAGCAUAUCUCUUACAUGAGACACAUAGAGAGAGAGAGGGAGAGGGGGAGACUCUAAAAAGAGAGAGCUACAUGCAAAAAGGGUAAGCAAUUAACGAAGAAGUGCAAUUUCAAGAUGCAAAUUGGUGCUGAGAGUCAGUGACUCUCUUGGCGUAGUAUUUAGUAAUGAAAUCAGAGGCUUUUCUGUCAAUGCCAGGCUCAGCAACCCAAUGUUUUCUGUCUUCAUCACUUGCAAACAUCCUUCUCCCACUACUGCCACUACCACCUUCCAAAUACUCAUAAUCACACCUGCUUCCACCUGAGAAACACGCCUUCAAUACCCCGAAAAAGGGGUGAUCAGAAAAGGACCUCUUGUUUCCCAUUGCCUCUUCUCUGACACUCA
rnacentral:lncRNA from 1 species